rnacentral:tRNA from 1 species
AAAGAUUUAGUUUAAAAAACAUUUGUAUGUCAUACAAAAAUUAUUAGAAAAAUCUAAUAUUCUUUU